GAGUUUGAUCGUGGCUCAGGACGAACGCUGGCGGCGUGCUUAACACAUGCAAGUCGAACGAGAAUCUACUGAAAGAGUUUUCGGACAAUGGAAGUAGAGGAAAGUGGCGGACGGGUGAGUAACGCGUGAGGAACCUGCCUUGAAGAGGGGACAACAGUUGGAAACGACUGCUAAUACCGCAUGAUGCAUAAGGGUCGCAUGAUUCUUAUGCCAAAGAUUUAUCGCUUCAAGAUGGCCUCGCGUCUGAUUAGCUAGUUGGCGGGGUAACGGCCCACCAAGGCGACGAUCAGUAGCCGGACUGAGAGGUUGAACGGCCACAUUGGGACUGAGAUACGGCCCAGACUCCUACGGGAGGCAGCAGUGGGGAAUAUUGGGCAAUGGGCGCAAGCCUGACCCAGCAACGCCGCGUGAAGGAAGAAGGCUUUCGGUAUGUAAACUUCUAUCAGCAGGGAAGAAAAUGACGGUACCUGACUAAGAAGCCCCGGCUAACUACGUGCAGCCGCCGCAGUAAC
rnacentral:rRNA from 1 species